UUGAAGUCCGUGAGCUGUGCAUCAAGAAAAGCCGCUAUUGUUCAUACCAUACCCGUACCGUAAACCGACACAGGUGGAUGAGGAGAGAAUCCUAAGGCCGGCGGAAGAAGCAUUGUCAAGGAACUCGGCAAAAUGACCCCGUAACUUCGGGAGAAGGGGUGCCUGCGAGAGCAGGCCGCAGAGAAUAGGCUCAAGCAACUGUUUAGCAAAAACACAGGUCUAUGCGAAACCGAAAGGUGAGGUAUAUGGGCUGACGCCUGCCCGGUGCUGGAAGGUUAAGAGGAGAGGUUAGCGGUAACGCGAAGCUUUGAAUUUAAGCCCCAGUAAACGGCGGCCGUAACCAUAACGGUCCUAAGGUAGCGAAAUUCCUUGUCGGGUAAGUUCCGACCCGCACGAAAGGCGUAAUGAUUUGAGCGCUGUCUCGACAAUGCAUCCGGUGAAAUUGAAGUACCAGUGAAGAUGCUGGUUACCUGCGCCAGAACGGAAAGACCCCAUGGAGCUUUACUCCAGUUUGGUACUGGGAUCCGGUACUGCAUGUACAGGAUAGGUGGGAGGCUAUGAAUCGGUAACGCCAGUUGCCGAGGAGCCGCUGUUGGGAUACCACCCUUGCAGUAUUGGGUUUCUAACCAGCCGCCGUGACCCGGCGGUGGGACAAUGCCAGACGGGGAGUUUGACUGGGGCGGUCGCCUCCGAAAGGGUAUCGGAGGCGCCCAAAGGUUCCCUCAGGAUGGACGGAAACCAUCCAAAGAGUGCAAAGGCAGAAGGGAGCUUGACUGCGACACCGACGGGUGGAGCAGGUACGAAAGUAGGGCUUAGUGAUCCGGUGGUAUUAAGUGGGAAUGCCAUCGCUCAACGGAUAAAAGCUACCCUGGGAUAACAGGCUUAUCACUCCCAAGAGUUCACAUCGACGGAGUGGUUUGGCACCUCGAUGUCGGCUCAUCGCAUCCUGGGGCUGUAGUAGGUCCCAAGGGUUGGGCUGUUCGCCCAUUAAAGCGGUACGCGAGCUGGGUUCAGAACGUCGUGAGACAGUCCGGUCCCUAUCCGGCGUGGGCGUAGGAUAUCUGAGAGGAGCUGUCCUUAGUACGAGAGGACCGGGAUGGACGGGCCGCUGGUGCACCGGUUAGACUGCCAAGUCUAUAGCCGGGUAGCCAAGCCCGGAAGGGAUAAACGCUGAAGGCAUCUAAGCGUGAAGCCCCCCUCAAGAUGAGAUAUCCCAUCCGAAAGGAGUAAACCCCCUUGAAGACGACGAGGUUGAUAGGGCAGAGGUGGAAGUGUGGUAACACAUGGAGCUGACUGCUACUAAUAGGGUGAGGGCUUGACCG
rnacentral:rRNA from 1 species